AGAAGUUAGCUAUAUAAUCUGUUAAGAGGAGUACAGAUUUUGUUCAGCGCUGCAACGCCAGGGUUUCCAUUUGUUCUGUUUUUGAUUGAUUGUUUGUCCUUUCAGUGAUUGUGUGUGAGAUGCUUAGUUUUGUUUCAGCGUGGCCACGCAUUUGAAUGUGUCCCGUUUCUUUCUGUGUUGAUUUUUGUGCGUGUUUUUUUAUUUCUUGGUUGUUUUUUUGUUUUGUGGGUUUUUCUUGUGAGGGUUGCAUGGCAGAGAUCAAAUUUGCGACAGAAGUUUAAAUUGUGUACUUCUUCAGCUUCCUCUGCUCUCUAAGCAGAAGAAAUAUUCGUAGACGGAUGUGGUGAUGGGACAUCUUUGUCUAUGAUCAAAAGAAGAAGAAGAUAUAUUUGCAAACGGAUGUGGCGAUGGGAAAUCUUCAAAGCUUCUUCUGGUUUCUAAUCAAAAGGGGAUUAUAAACAGGGGAAUAAUAGUGUGAACAUCGGUGAAAGAGCUUGUAUGCUUUAUGGCUCAGAUGGUUUGCGGAAAAGAACUGUUUGAGCCAGGCUCUGAACAAGCUGCAGAGUUUAGAGGCGUGGUAUGGGAAGCCCUUAAGUUGACAGGGAAGGAGCUAUGCACUAAAAGUAGCGACUAGCACAGAGGGCUGAUAUGCAGUGCAGCGGUAAUGAAGUGAAUGAUUUUCUGGAUGUAAUGCUGGAUUUGAGAGAAGAUGGCACACAACUUAGUCUGGAGAAGAUGUAAUUUUCUGGAUGUAGCAGCGGUUUCCAUACACCUCCCCCAGUUACCACAGCUGCAACUUCAACGCCUGAGUUUGUAGGUGUUGACAGGGGACAAAAUGUCCCAAAUUGAUGACAUCAUGCUCUCAGCGAUCGAUUUUGGCCUACAAAGCUAUACGGGUACCCCCUCCGUGUCUAGGGCUUGUCCUAAGAAAAGAAUUCCUUGAAGACGCCAAAACGUGUGAAGAAGGUAAUUGAACACAUUUUUAGUUGUACAAUUGUUUGAAAAUGUUGAAAUCAAGUAUUAGUUGGGGUUUGUAGAUUGAUUAGUGUUUUUUGUCUAUUUUACAUGUACAACGACCAUUGAGCUUUGUGGAUAUGUUGAAUGCACCUGAUUCGCCCGCGGAUCAAGAGAGGGCGAAGAUAUGUAUCUCUACUUUAUUUUCUUGAUUUCAUGAUUAUAUGCACGCGUACAUGUGAACUUGUGAUAUAUUAUAAUCUUAUAAUUUUUUCAUACAGGAAAUAUCCAUACCUAUUUCGUCAAUGGCGAACCCUCCUUGCACUAGAGAAGCAUCUCAGGAUCUAGUACACUUUUGUUUGAUAUGUAAAAUUAAUUGUUUUCAACAUUCAAUACUUAUCAUUAUAUUAAUUGUAUUUAAUCUUUAUACAUUUUUUGUAUAGGUAAUAGCGUCAGUUUCUACAUCGAUGGUGAGCCAUCCUCAGUCCAUUGGAGAAGCAUCUCAAGCACAGACUCCUUCGUGGUAUGACCAUAACGUGGAUCAAUUUAAGUAUGUCUUCAAGAAAACUCCUAAGAGUGACAAGGAGAGGAGAGCGAAGACAUUAGCUCUUGGAUCAGCCCAUGAGAGUCGCGUACUGUGUCGAAGAGGCUUGAUUUUGAUGAUCCACCAGAAGUUUAGGAUCAUAUAGUGUUAGUUUUGGUUAUAGAAUGACCAAUACAUGUAGAUAUAUUCUACAUUUUUAUUGUAUAUCGAUUUGGACAUGACAUAUGCCACAUUUUUGUAAUACUUGUAUUGACUUGGCAGACAUGCCUUUUUUUAUAUAUAUAAAUAUCGAUAUUCG